AGUGCUUUCAGAAGCCUGAAGCAAAUACAACCUACAACAUGGGGUUCCAUCUGGGUGAGUUUGAAGUGACCUGGGCAAGUUGCGCAACUCGUUGAACAAAUUUAGUGGGUCAUGCAACAACCCGAAAUGUGCAUCUGGGUCACCAAUUUGAGAAAGUUUAACAUCAGAAAAUCCUAGUGAUGGCAAUAACUCAUCAGGAUAGUCGCUAUAGAAAUGGAAAUUUGA
rnacentral:misc_RNA from 1 species